rnacentral:rRNA from 1 species
GAAAUUCCAAUCGAGCCCGGAGAUAGCUGGUUCUCCCCGAAAUAGCUUUAGGGCUAGCCUCAAGGUGAGAGAUACGGAGGUAGAGCACUGAAUGUCCUAGGGGGGAUUGCACCUACCGAAGACUAUCAAACUCCGAAUGCCGUCAUCUUAUACUUGGGAGUCAGACUGUGGGGGAUAAGAUUCAUAGUCGAAAGGGCAACAGCCCAGAUCG